UACGGAGGGUCCAAGCGUUUAUCCGGAAUCAUUGGGUUUAAAGGGUCCGUAGGCGGUUUGUUGCGUCGGCUGUGAAAUCCCGAGGCUCAACCUCGGGUCUGCAGUCGAUACGAGCAAACUAGAGUGUUGGCAGGGGAGACUGGGAAUUCCUGGUGUAGCGGUGAAAUGCGCAGAUAUCAGGAGGAACACCGGUGGCGAAGGCGGGUCUCUGGGACGGUACUGACGCUGAGACGCGAAAGCGUGGGGAGC
rnacentral:rRNA from 1 species